rnacentral:lncRNA from 1 species
UCCUGACGCUGCCCCCUCCCUCUAGCCCCCCAGCGAGUCCUGACAGUUCUGCCCAUGAUGGCUCUCUCACCCCCUCCACUUCUCUCCACGCCCACCACUGCCAUAGUAAUCUGCGUCCCCAUGGCCUCUCUCCUGCAUGGUGGAACCUCCUCUGGCCUGCCCGUGGCCACUGUAGCCCUGCAGCAGUCCGGUUUUCACCUGGUAGUUUUUCGUGUGUGUGUGUGUGUGUGUGUCUGUGCGUUGUUGGUUUUUUUUUUUUUUUUUUUGAGACUGAGUCUCACUCUGUUGCCCAGGCUGGAGUGCAGUGGUGUGAUCUCUGCUCACUGCAACCUCCACCUCCCAGGUUC